UACGAAGGGGGCUAGCGUUGUUCGGAAUUACUGGGCGUAAAGGGCGCGUAGGCGGUGUGUCAAGUCAGGCGUGAAAGCCCCGGGCUCAACCUGGGAAUGGCAUUUGGGACUGCAAGGCUUGAGUGCGGCAGAGGAGACUGGAAUUCCCGGUGUAGCGGUGAAAUGCGCAGAUAUCGGGAGGAACACCAAUGGCGAAGGCAGCUCGCUGGGACGGUACUGACGCUGAGACGCGAAAGCGUGGGGAGCAAACAGG
rnacentral:rRNA from 1 species